ensembl:lncRNA
UUUUUUUUUUUUUUUUUCCCCACAGAGUUUUGCUUUUGUUGCCCAAGCUGGAGUGCAAUGGUGCGAUCUUGACUCACUGCAACCUCCGCCUCCCGGGUUCAAGCAAUUCUCCUGCCUCAGCCUCCCGAGUAGCUGGGAUUACAGGCGCCCAUCUCCAUGCCUGGCUAAUUUUUGUAUUUUUAGUACAGACACGGUUUCACCAUGUUGGCCAGGCUGGUCUCAAACUCUUGACCUCAGAUGAUCCACCCACCUUGGCCUCUCAAAGUGCUGGGAUUAUAGACAUGAGCCACUGCGCCCAGCCGAUUAUUUACUAUGUUAACAGCCACUAUUUAUUAAGCAAAUACUAUGUGUUGGGCAUGAUGCUAGAUGCUUUCUUCUAUUAUCUUUUUUAGUUAAAACAGAUCAAGAAAUAUAAUUAAUCAUUUAGGAAGGUUUUUGUAGGCUCGCUUUAUAGAAGUAAUCACUAAAAGCAACUGUGAUAAUCUGACAAAGACUUAAGCUAACCGGUGAUCGUAACAGGAAGGACUAAAGACCAGCUGACCCUUCAAGCCAAUUGGAAUAUUAGUAAUUAAUAGCAGAGUGUUAUGCAUGAUUAGACACUACUAGUGUGCAGCUUUUUUUGAAAUGCAGCAUUUACAUUGGACGUCAAUCUUUGCUUUCGUCGGGAAACCACCAGUGUAUGGUACAUUGUUAAGUGAAAGCAAGCAGCCAGGUUAAAUUCUAAUUAAACACUACCAUUGUUAUUUGAAAAAUAACAGCUUAGUGUUGGUGUCAAAUUGACUUUUAUCCACGAAUGGAAUUAGAACAUUUUGUCAUUUUCGGCUAAUACAUGUGAAUAACACUUCCUGAUAAGCCUUCUUUGACUUUAGUUAAGUUGAAACAAAGAGAAUUAAUAUGGUGAGAAUGUAAAUGAGGAUGUCAUUUAGCAAAAGAAAAGGAUUAUGUUGUAUCUGUUUUCCUUUGAGCCUCUACCAAUGCUUUGUAAGCAGGCUGGACAUUUUUUCUGGUCUGUGAAUUCCAAAUGUAGCUCCCGUUCCUGCAUGGCGGUUCAGUGGGCAAGCUGUUCCCUUUUGCUGCCUGCAACUUUCCCAAACCAGCUGUCUGAGCAGGGAAAUGAGUGGCCUUUCCCAAGGGUCAGAAGGAUAAGAGGACAGAAAACUUUGAAUUUUAAGAAAAUGUGUACUGAGAAUCAAUGUAUCAAGAACUUGUUAGGAUAGAAAGUAAAUUUAAGGCAGAGUUGCACAUAUAUAAAGCUGGUAGGGAGGUGGCAUGGUGGUGGGCAUUGAAAACCAGACAGACUUAUUGACUAGUUAUUGAUUAAGUUCACCUAUGUGCCAGACCCUGGCAGUCACUGCCUUUGAGGCUCUCAGAUUUCAGAACUUUGAGGAAGACCUACAAUUGCAAUGGGAUUGUGGAGUGGACAGCACAGUCCAAAUCUCCAGUCUUUUAGUUUCUACCUAUGUGAUCUUGGACAAAUUAUUUCACCCAUCUGAUUCUCAUGUUUUUCAUUUGUAAAAUGGGGGCACUAGCCUUGACCUCACAGAUUUUUAUUGUGAGGAUGAAGUGAAAUACUACAUUAAAAGAUCUAGUGUAGUGUCCUGAAUACACAUGGCCCUCAGUAACCUCCUUUGUCUUAAUACUGAAACCACCUUUGUCUUAAUACUGAAAUAACUGAGACAGAGAAAGAGAUUUGACCUAACCAACUCCAUCUUGCUUCUAACCUCCAAGCUGUCCUUGUUCAUUCCAGGGUAUAGGCUGAACUGACUUUGGGAGGAACUUAGUUUAUGGUUUAAAACAAAGACAAAAAUAGCCCUUGCCCAAAACCCCCUUCUUGCCUGGGGACUAGACUGCCUUUGUAGGACUGACAAGUUAGCCAUAAGAUUAGAAAUUGUAGUUUAGGGCCGGGCAUGGUGGCUCAUGCCUCUACUCCUAGCAUUUUGGGAGGCUGAGGUGGGCGGAUCACUUGAAGUCAGAAGUUUGAGACUAGCACAGCCAAUGUAGGGAAACCCUGUCUCUACUAAAAAAACAAAACAAAACAAAACAAAAAAACAAAUUUGACAGGCAUAGUUGUGUGCCUAUAAUCCGAGCUACUCUGGAGGCUGAGGCAGGAGAAUUGCUUGAACCUGGGAGGCCGAGGUUGCAGUGAGCCGAGAUCUUGCCACUGUACUGUAGCCUGGGAAAUGGAGACUCUCUCUCAAAAAAAAAAAAAAAAAAAAAGACAAGACAUAGUUCAGGCAGCUGGAGGCCACAAGAUUCUGACUCUCCCUAAACUGCUCCUAAGAUCAGUGCUUGAGACAUUUUGCAGACCCUGUACUUGAUGGAUCAGCUGGCACCACCCAGAUGGAUAAACUGGCUCAUCUGAUCUUGUGGUCCCCAUCCAGGAACUGACUCAGCUGCAGGAGGACAGCUUCGAUUCUCUAUGAUUUCAUCUGGGACCCAACCAAUCAGAGCUCUUGAUUCACUGGCUUCCCCCUACCCACCAAAUUGUCCUUAAAAACUCCAAGCACCGAAUGAUUGGGGAAACCAAUCUGAGUAAUAAUAAUACUCAGGUCGCCCACACAGCUAGCUCUGUGUGAAUCACGCUCUCUAUUGCAAUUCCCCUGUCUUGAUAAAUUGGCUCUAUCUAGGCAGCUGACAAGGUGAACCCUUUGGGUGGUUACAAUACCUCCUUUAGUAGACUAAAGAACAACUUGGAUACAACCAGCAAGAAAUGGAUUAUAUCAAGGGAAAUAGUCAUGCCCAUCCCAGACCAUGAUAAGAAAUGAGAAAGUAAUAUAAUGGAAGGAUUUUGUCUCUUCUCAUUGGGACUCACUCUAAGCACCUCUGGUUAGAUGUCAUUCUAUGUCUGGGAUGAUUUCAAGAUUAUGGUAUUAUCCUCUUGUGCUAUCAAUUUUAACUCACAAAUGGAUGUUGAUGUCAUUUAUUCUCUUAUUCUACAGACCUUUAUUGGCUAAAUGUGUAGUAUGGGCGAGAGAUAGGUGGUCCUGACAGAGGAGUGGGAAGAGCCAGUACUCUGGAGUGGGGUUACUUUCUGUCUGCCUGCUCAGGAAAGUUGUUUCACCAUUCUCAACCUCAGUUUCCACAUCUGUAACAUAUGGAAAUUAAUUUCUACCUCAUAGGAUUGUUAUAAUUAUUAACUGAGAUUAAUAUAUUAUUAUAAUGCUUAAUUAGAUAACAUAUUUAAAAAUAUAAUUCCCCUAGAUAUAAUACAUAUGCAUAUAUAAUAUAUAAAGGGAUUGGUAUCCAAAUCUCUGUAUAAUAUUAUAUCUCUGUUAUGGAAGUGGUGCAGGGAAGUGCUGGAUAGAGAAGGGCAGGGUCCUUGGCAAAAGCUCCAACCUCAGGCCUGUGCCCACAGACCUAAGUGAACACAGGUGCUCCUGUUUUCAAGCCUGAAUGUUGCAUUUUCCAAGACCACUCUGGCCCACCACACUCCCCAUCCUGUGUCCAUACAAACCUGAGACCUUAGAGGGCACACGCACAAGUGGCUGAACAUUGAGACCAGCGGACCAGUGGACCAGCAGACUAGCUGACCAGCAGACCAGUGAUGGUGGAACAAUGCGGCAGAGAAAGAGAGUAGAGGAGAGAUGUCUGGACACCGAGGGGAGUUUGGCCGGGGGUGGUUGGAGAAGAAUCCGCUCACUGGACCCAACUCC